UACGUAGGGGGCUAGCGUUAUCCGGAAUUACUGGGCGUAAAGGGUGCGUAGGUGGUUUCUUAAGUCAGAGGUGAAAGGCUACGGCUCAACCGUAGUAAGCUUUUGGAACUGUAAGACUUGAGUGCAGGAGAGGAGAGUGGAAUUCCUAGUGUAGCGGUGAAAUGCGUAGAUAUUAGGAGGAACACCAGUAGCGAAGGCGGCUCCCUGGACUGUAACUGACGCCGAGGCGCGAAAGCGUGGGGAGCAAACAGGAUUAGAUACCCUGGUAGUCCCUGAGCGGG
rnacentral:rRNA from 1 species